rnacentral:rRNA from 1 species
GAGGAAGGUGGGGAUGACGUCAAAUCAGCACGGCCCUUACGUCCAGGGCUACACACGUGCUACAAUGGCCGGUACAAAGGGCAGCUACCUGGUGACAGGAUGCUAAUCUCAAAAGCCGGUCUCAGUUCGGAUCGGAGUCUGCAACCCGACUCCGUGAAGUUGGAUUCGCUAGUAAUCGCGCAUCAGCCAUGGCGCGGUGAAUACGUUCCCGGGCCUU